rnacentral:lncRNA from 10 species
AGGAACUCCCCUACAAUGAGCUGUCCCGCCUCAGUGGCCUGCGAACCCUCAACCUCCACAACAACCUCAUCUCCUCCGAAGGCCUGCCUGACGAGGCCUUCGAGUCCCUCACCCAGCUGCAGCACCUCUGCGUGGCUCACAACAAGCUGAGCAACGCUGGCCUGCCCCCCGACGCCUUCCGCGGCUCCGAGGCCAUCGCCACCCUCAGCCUCUCCAACAACCAGCUCAGCUACCUGCCGCCCAGCCUGCCGCCCUCACUCGAGCGGCUCCACCUGCAGAACAAUCUCAUCUCCAAGGUGCCCCGAGGAGCCCUGAGCCGCCAGACUCAACUCCGUGAGCUCUACCUCCAGCACAACCAGCUGACAGACAGUGGCCUGGAUGCCACCACCUUCAGCAAGCUGCAUAGCCUUGAAUACCUGGAUCUCUCCCACAACCAGCUGACCACAGUGCCCGCCGGCCUGCCCCGGACCCUGGCUAUCCUGCACCUGGGCCGCAACCGCAUCCGGCAGGUGGAGGCGGCUCGGCUGCACGGGGCGCGUGGUCUGCGCUAUUUGUUGCUGCAGCACAACCAGCUGGGGAGCUCAGGGCUGCCCGCCGGGGCUCUGCGGCCGCUGCGGGGCCUGCACACGCUGCACCUCUAU